rnacentral:rRNA from 1 species
UAACUCCGGGAAACCGGGGCUAAUACCGAAUGAUAAAGUGUGGCGCAUGCCACGCUUUUGAAAGAUGGUUUCGGCUAUCGCUUACAGAUGGGCCCGCGGUGCAUUAGCUAGUUGGUAGGGUAAUGGCCUACCAAGGCAACGAUGCAUAGCCGACCUGAGAGGGUGAUCGGCCACACUGGGACUGAGACACGGCCCAGACUCCUACGGGAGGCAGCAGUAGGGAAUCUUCCGCAAUGGACGAAAGUCUGACGGAGCAACGCCGCGUGUAUGAAGAAGGUUUUCGGAUCGUAAAGUACUGUUGUUAGAGAAGAACAAGGAUAAGAGUAACUGCUUGUCCCUUGACGGUAUCUAACCAGAAAGCCACGGCUAACUACGUGCCAGCAGCCGCGGUAAUACGUAGGUGGCAAGCGUUGUCCGGAUUUAUUGGGCGUAAAGCGCGCGCAGGCGGUCUUUUAAGUCUGAUGUGAAAGCCCCCGGCUUAACCGGGGAGGGUCAU